UACCAAACAGGUAACUGGCCUUCCACCGCAAUGUUCUAAGUUAUCUUUAUAAUUUUGGUAAUAAACUCCUACGAGCCGGUAAUUAUAUCCUACAAAUUUAGAUAACACUCUUUACCAUAAUUUUCAUUAAGUGUAGUACAAAUGUUUCCCGUUGUGGUGCUGAUGAGAUCUACAUUUUGGUGUAGUUUAUUACCCUGGAGUUUUAGUUUUCGCUUAGCUCAACUCAAGUCAACAUGACGAAAUUAAUCCAGUGCUGCCCGUG